rnacentral:rRNA from 1 species
UUAAUUGAAGAGUUUGAUCAUGGCUCAGAUUGAACGCUGGCGGCAGGCCUAACACAUGCAAGUCGAGCGGCAGCGACUUAACUGAACCUUCGGGGAACGUUAAGGGCGGCGAGCGGCGGACGGGUGAGUAAUGCCUGGGAAUAUGCCCUGAUGUGGGGGAUAACUAUUGGAAACGAUAGCUAAUACCGCAUAAUCUCCGAUCUUUUACGAGAUGGGAGCAAAGAGGGGGACCUUCGGGCCUCUCGCGUCAGGAUUAGCCCAGGUGGGAUUAGCUUGUUGGUGAGGUAAUGGCUCACCAAGGCAACGAUCCCUAGCUGGUCUGAGAGGAUGAUCAGCCACACUGGAACUGAGACACGGUCCAGACUCCUACGGGAGGCAGCAGUGGGGAAUAUUGCACAAUGGGGGAAACCCUGAUGCAGCCAUGCCGCGUGUGUGAAGAAGGCCUUCGGGUUGUAAAGCACUUUCAGUAGGGAGGAAGGUAGUGUAGUUAACACCUGCAUUAUUUGACGUUACCUACAGAAGAAGCACCGGCUAACUCCGUGCCAGCAGCCGCGGUAAUACGGAGGGUGCGAGCGUUAAUCGGAAUUACUGGGCGUAAAGCGCAUGCAGGCGGCCUGUUAAGUCAGAUGUGAAAGCCCGGGGCUUAACCUCGGAAUUGCAUUUGAAACUGGCAGGCUAGAGUCUUGUAGAGGG